rnacentral:rRNA from 1 species
UUGACCUCAAAUCAGGUAGGACUACCCGCUGAACUUAAGCAUAUCAAUAAGCGGAGGAAAAGAAACUAACAAGGAUUCCCCUAGUAACUGCGAGUGAAGCGGGAAAAGCUCAAAUUUGAAAUCUGGCGGUUCCUGACCGUCCGAGUUGUAAUCUAGAGAAGUGUUACCUGUGCUGGACCGUGUACAAGUCUCCUGGAAUGGAGCAUCAUAGAGGGUGAGAAUCCCGUCUUUGACACGGACUGCCUGUACGUUGUGGUGCGCUCUCAAAGAGUCGAGUUGUUUGGGAAUGCAGCUCAAAAUGGGUGGUAAAUGCCAUCUAAAGCUAAAUAUUGGCGAGAGACCGAUAGCGAACAAGUACCGUGAGGGAAAGAUGAAAAGAACUUUGGAAAGAGAGUCAAACAGUACGUGAAAUUGCUGAAAGGGAAACGCUUGAAGUCAGUCGCGUUGGCUAGGAAUCAGUCAUGCUCUUGCUUGACGUACUUUCUGGUCGACGGGUCAGCAUCAAUUUUGACCAUUGGAAAAAGUCUCUGGGAAUGUGGCAUCUUCGGAUGUGUUAUAGCCCAUUGUCGUAUACGGUGGUUGGGAUUGAGGAACUCAGCACGCCGCAAGGCCGGGUCUUUUUUGACCACGUCCGUGCUUAGGAUGCUGGCAUAAUGGCUUUAAUCGACCCGUC